UGAGGAAUAUUGCGCAAUGGAGGCAACUCUGACGCAGCCAUGCCGCGUGCAGGAAGACGGCCCUACGGGUUGUAAACUGCUUUUAACCGGGAAGAAACCCCUCGACGUGUCGAGGGUUGACGGUACCGGAGGAAUAAGCACCGGCUAACUUCGUGCCAGCAGCCGCGGUAAUACGAAGGGUGCAAGCGUUAUCCGGAUUCAUUGGGUUUAAAGGGUGCGUAGGCGGGGCGAUAAGUCAGUGGUGAAAUCCUGCAGCUUAACUGUAGCAUUGCCAUUGAUACUGUCGUCCUUGAGUACGCUUGACGUGGGCGGAAUGUGCCGUGUAGCGGUGAAAUGCUUAGAUAUGGCACAGAACACCAAUUGCGAAGGCAGCUCACGAAGGCGAAACUGACGCUGAGGCACGAAAGCGUGGGGAUCGAACAGG
rnacentral:rRNA from 1 species